CCCUUAGAUGUCCUGGGCCGCACGCGCGUUACACUGAUGCAUUCAACGAGCUUAUAACCUUGGCCGAGAGGCCUGGGCAAUCUUGUUAACGUGCAUCGUGAUAGGGAUAGAUUAUUGAAAUUAUUAAUCUUGAACGAGGAAUUCCUAGUAAACGCAGAUCAUCAAUCUGCAUUGAUUACGUCCCUGCCCUUUGUACACACCGCCCGUCGCACCUACCGAUUGGAUGGACCGGUGAAGCCUCGGGAUUGUGGUUCUUGCCGCUUUAUUGUGGCGUGACCGCGAGAACUUGUCUAAACCUUAUCAUCUAGAGGAAGGUGAAGUCGUAACA
rnacentral:rRNA from 1 species